rnacentral:rRNA from 1 species
GGAAUCUUCGGCAAUGGACGAAAGUCUGACCGAGCAACGCCGCGUGAGUGAAGAAGGUUUUCGGAUCGUAAAACUCUGUUGGUAGAGAAGAACGUUGGUGAGAGUGGAAAGCUCAUCAAGUGACGGUAACUACCCAGAAAGCCACGGCUAACUACGUGCCUG